rnacentral:lncRNA from 1 species
GGCUUAGCCUACUAUGUCACAGUGCCAGCCCCAAAUUCCAUUUUAAAACCUCACAAUGACCAAAUAUUCAGGUUCUAAACUUCCCUUAGAUGCUACACCUGUCAUAGAUAUGUGUGUUCUUCCUGUAUCCAGUAGACAAUAGAAGCCCAGAGUGGUGCAGAGAUUCACACGCAUUGUGUCUAUAGUGGGUGAAUGAUCUGGGAUGGAAACGCUGGCUUCCCCACUCCUUCUCAGAGCAGUGUCUCCUUCACUGGAGUGAAUGCAAAUAUUAUUCUGUAUACAAGAUGAAACCUCUCAGAAGUCUGCAACUCAGAGCUGCCUUUGGAGCUUUCCUGAUAUCACUCAUCUCAAAUUAGGUAUGACCGUCACUCUGGGAGGAGACACAGCAAUACCUGCCACGAUUUGGUUCUGGAAUGGCAUGAUCUGCAUCUCAGACCUUGGCUGUUCUAUAUUCCAGUGUGCUUGAACUACUCACAGUGCUGCCCAACUGCUAGAUAAAGCCCAAGGCUCCGUGCCAGGGAGGCCUGUGCAAAACCAAAUGAGACACUGGCUCAUGGGUAAGUGAAGAUGCACAAAUGAUACAUUUAAAUGGCCUCCUCUAAUUAUUCAGGGUUUUUUGUUUCCCUUUUUUGUUUUGGGAAAUUCCAGUUCUCAGAAGUGAUAAUGAACUACUAGAGAUUGCAGCAGGUAAAAAACUGCCAUUUCAGAUCCCCAUCUCUGGCCUCAUCACCUACCACAUCAGCCAGGCCCCAUUGUUCUCAGCCUUUUAAACACUACAGCAUAAGAGAGAUCCAGCGGCUCAACUUCCUUGGUCAGAGACAUCCCUGGUAAUCAGAGAGGUUUUUGAUAUAGAAAAAAAGGCUAAAUAUUUUGGAUUAAGCAAAAGUCACACAGCAGCAACAGGCCACAGGAAAGGGGAAAGAGAUGCAGAAACUAAAUACCUGGGCCAGUGAUGGCAAGAAGCAAACAACUGAGAUUUGGUCUUUUGCUACCUAUAAGAACUUUUAAUCUAUUCAAUCAAGGCACAUUGCUACUAGCUCCUUCUCCCUGUUAGUGUGUUAUGAUGGCUAAAGUAACAGGUUUGGGACCAAGGGGAAACACACGUAGCUGCUACAAGUUGUUCUGGAUACAGUAUUAGAAUUAAAACAUCUGUAAACUUUGCCCUCUGUGCUUUUUUCUUCUUUCAGUCCUGGUGGUUUGUGGCAGGUGAAACAUCAAGUUGGCAGCACACCAAAUUCUGAGAGUGGAAAAUUCUUAGGAUCAGCACCUUCUUUGACAAGUGGCAGACUCCUGAGUCUUCCCAGUGAAAAGUAGAAAGACUGGUAAAGGAGAAAAGAACACAUUCUGUCCUGUCUCAAUAUUUUAAUGUUCACCUCUUUGAAUGCAACAUGGUUUUUCAUAAAGAUAAAUUCUUUCUAAUUUAACAUGAUAUUUUGAACAGGAAAUUUGGCUGAGCACAUCGAUCC